UCUUGCGCACCGAAGUUAAGACCCCAGCGCGGAGAGAGCUCCAAGGCCCCGCCUCUGGUGUGUGGGCGGCUUGAAGAUUGCAGGUGAGCACGCUGUACCUACCCUUAAAGGCAUGGAGAAAAAACAUAUUAGGCACUACAAAGAAAACAAGUCACCUACUAAAGACUUGCUUCUGCCAUUGUGAAAGGAGGGGACACCGGUGAAUAAAGGCUGAUCGGUGGUGGUUUUGCUCUUUCUCUAGCAAGAAGGAAGCCAAGUACUGCACCAGGCUACACUGUAUGCUGCAACUGUUCAGAAGAGAAACUCAGUCUGUUUUCUGAACUUUGAAAGCAGCCAGUUGUUACCCACCCUAUCCUGCACACAUGUGGCCUCAGCGGUGAAUGUGGACAGGGGAUGGGAACUGUUAGCAUCAGUCAGUUCACUGAGAAGAUUUUCACACCUAUGAUGCAUCCCUAUAUCUUGGGGUCUUUGUGAAUGUUAUUUGACUUCCUUCACUCUACUAACUCCAACUUCACCUCACACCCAUUCCCGGGCCCUGAUCAGGUGGGGCAAGGCGGGUGCAGAAGUUGGUGCAGGCACUGAGAGGAUGAGUCAAGAACAGAGAGGAAAUAAGACUCAACAGCCUUCUCUUCAGCCUGGAGAUACUUCCUCUUCCUUGAGGUUUCCUAAUUGGCUUCCUCUCAUUCCUAUUUUUUCACCGCAAAAUUAAGUCAUCACUGGUGCUCAGAAUAAGCCCAAGUUCUCUUGAGAUAACUGGGGGAGAGAGAGUAAAUGAAUGAGGUGUCUAAUCAUUAUAACCAAUAUUUUCAGUCACUAAUUUAGGAACUAGUUCUUGAGAACCCAGGUACUGAUGAGAAAGCAGAGUGCUCCAGUUUUACUUCCUACUUGCUUUGAAAGUACCUGAUAGACCUCAGCUGAGAUCCACAACUUCUAGUGUGCAAUUCAUCCAUCGUGGUGAGAAAAAGGCAAGUUUCAAGAAUCAACCACAGACAACAGAUUAAACACUUUUCCAGACUAAA